rnacentral:rRNA from 1 species
UGGGGAAUAUUGGACAAUGGGCGAAAGCCUGAUCCAGCAAUGCCGCGUGGGUGAAGAAGGUCUUCGGAUUGUAAAGCCCUUUCGGCGGGGACGAUGAUGACGGUACCCGCAGAAGAAGCCCCGGCUAACUUCGUGCCAGCAGCCGCGGUAAUACGAAGGGGGCUAGCGUUGCUCGGAAUGACUGGGCGUAAAGGGCGCGUAGGCGGUUUGUACAGUCGGGCGUGAAAUUCCUGGGCUCAACCCAGGGGCUGCACUCGAUACGUACGGACUGGAGUGGGGAAGAGGGUCGUGGAAUUCCCAGUGUAGAGGUGAAAUUCGUAGAUAUUGGGAAGAACACCGGUGGCGAAGGCGGCGACCUGGUCCUUGACUGACGCUGAGGCGCGAAAGCGUGGGGAGCAAACAGG